rnacentral:rRNA from 1 species
CCUACGGGGGGCUGCAGUGGGGAAUCUUGCGCAAUGGGCGAAAGCCUGACGCAGCGACGCCGCGUGUGGGAGGAAGCUCUUCGGGGUGUAAACCACUGUCAGAGGGGAAGAACGGCCACCUGAGGAAAUGCAGGUGGUGUGACGGUACCCUCAAAGGAAGCACCGGCUAACUCUGUGCCAGCAGCCGCGGUAAUACAGAGGGUGCGAGCGUUGUUCGGAAUUACUGGGCGUAAAGCGCGCGCAGGCGGCCCUUUAAGUCUGGUGGUGAAAGACCGGGGCUCAACCCCGCGUCAGCCAGGGAUACUGGAGGGCUGGAGACACGUAGAGGCAAGCGGAAUUCCGGGUGUAGCGGUGGAAUGCGUAGAGAUCCGGAAGAACACCGGAGGCGAAGGCGGCUUGCUGGGCGUGAUCUGACGCUGAGGCGCGAAAGCGUGGGGAGC